UACGGAGGGUGCAAGCGUUGCUCGGAAUUAUUGGGCGUAAAGGGUAUGUAGGUGGUCUCAUUUGUCUGGGGUGAAAGCCUUGAGCUUAACUCAAGAAGUGCCCCAGAAACGGUGAGACUAGAGUCCUGGAGAGGGUCGUGGAAUUCCCGGUGUAGCGGUGAAAUGCGUAGAGAUCGGGAGGAACACCAGAGGCGAAAGCGGCGACCUGGACAGGUACUGACACUCAACUACGAAAGCGUGGGGAGCAAACAGG
rnacentral:rRNA from 1 species